rnacentral:lncRNA from 13 species
AUGGUUUUUCUCACUUUUCCCUCUUUUCCCGCUGUUUUCCAGCUCUGCCUCUGCCCCAUGUCUCCCUUCCACGAGUGCUGCCUCCCCGCGGGCCUGGCGUGCCCCGAGCCCUUCGCCGUGACCUGCAACGACACCUGCGUGAUCAAAUACCCCGACACCAUCGUGGACAUCGUGGAGCCCGACCUGCCCCCCUACUCCGUGAUUUACCCCGGCCCCACCCUCACCACCUUCCCCCAGCAGACCAUCGUGGGAUCCACGGCUCUGCUGGACCUCAGGAAGUUCCUGGGCCCCAGGGGAUCCCAUGGGUUUAGGGGCCAACCUAAACCCUGCCUGGAUAUCUGUGGAUAGACUGAAAAGCACAACUGAGCAGUCAGACAGAGCCCGACUAAGUUUAUGGAUACUGGAUUGUAGAAGUGCCGAGCUCCCGAGGUUCCCAUGGAGUCCACAAAUCCAUGGAUUCCUGGCACUAGACCUGCCCGAGGACUAGAAUUUCCAAACUACGAGAAAACUGAAAUUUCUCUAUUGACCUCAUUCCAAAUUGGGACAAACCAAAGCCCAGAAUUUCCCAAGAAACAAGAUUUUAAAAAAUAGAUCUCUAUUUUUCUUUUUUUUUUUUUUUUUGGUUUGCUAAAAGCUGUGUGUCAAUAAAUUCGUUUUUAUGCCAACCCGGACGUUUUAUUAUCAAUUUCUCUCAAAAUAAAAAAUUAUAAAAUCCAUCCAAAAAAAUACGACUGAAAAUCUUGGGUUCCAAAAUUAAAUUUUAUCCAAAUUCCUCCUCAUUUGUAAAUUUUGCUGAACCAGCAUAAAAAGGAAAUAAAUAAAUCCACUCUACUUGGCAUUUCUGAAAAUUAGGAAUUUGUAGCUCCUUGCUGUGCUUUAUUCCUGCUUAGCCCCGCCUUGUAACGCUCUCCCAGCUUCUUUUCCUGCCUUUAUCUCAUUUAAUGCGAGCCAGGGGAAAAAAACCCAACCAAAAUCAAAAUAUUUACAGCAAUUGUAAGAGCAAAUCUCUUUGCAAAAUCCUUCUUCUCAAAUCUAUGAAAAUCAUGGGAGUGGGGAUUUGUUGUGGACCCUCCUGAAGUCCUGGAAUUCUUUGAUUUUAUCCUUUCCAGCGAGUUUUGCACUUGUAAAUUGAGCUUCUCAUUCCCAUUAAAUGCUGUCAUGCAGAUGCACUUUUGGGUUUUGCUUUUUUAGGAUGGUUUGGGGUGGAAGGGACCCCAAGGAUCAUCCAAUCCCACCCCAGUUCCAUGGGCAGGGACAUUCCCACUAUCCCAGGUGGCUCCAGCCUGGCCUUGGACACUCCCAGGGACAGGGAAUUCAUGGAAUAACCUGUGCCGGAGCCUCCCCGCCCUCACAGGGAACAAUUCCUUCCCAAAAUCCAACCCAAAUUUCCCCUUCUUCAGUCUGAACCCAC